rnacentral:lncRNA from 1 species
AAUUGCUCCUGAGACCCAACAGGCAGCAACGGUCCCAAGGGUGAGGGAGUGGGCAGGGAGAGGCUGAUGGGGCUUCUACACGUUCCCUCCCGUAGCUGGGCUGCUGCAGCUCGUUCGCCCCAGAGGCGCGCGGUGUCCUUGAGUCCAAGUAUUCAGCGCGGACGUUUGGGGGACGGAGGGAGAGGCGCUAGGGGAACUGGCACCUAAGACUGUGUAAUAGGACACAGGUCUUGCAAGUCCUCCUCCCCAGGCACCGCCCCUGUGCUCCCAGCGCCUCUUUGCAGCUUUAAUUAUCCUUUCAGCGCCGUUCCCCCGCGGCUGCGUUUCCGUGGUCAGAGGAAAAAGGCUCUUUCGCCUCCCGGUUCUCACCCUCAUACAGACCCUCCUUUCAGACCCGCCCUCCUGUUCACAGGGACCCAUUUCGGAGCCCUGGCUCACGCUGGGCGGGAACUGCCGUGACGAAUUCCCCCCAAGGUGUUGAUUAUCCAUCCCAACCCAGCCUCUGGCUUCCCUCCCACCUCCACCCCAGCUCCCACAGGCCCCUCGCCCCGUUCAUCGGCUGGGCGCUCGAGACGGCGCCCCCAGAUCUCCCACCGGGCAGUGUCCCCAGCUGCAGCUGAGGAGAGAAGCGCCGGCGUGCGCGGUGCCACGUCGGAAUUGGCUCUGGGGACGCCGCAGCUGCCGAAGCGCAGCGCGCGGUCCCCACGCACGCCCUGCCUCCGGGCGGCCGGCGGGCUGGCCCGGCGAGGAGAGGAGGGAUGCGCGCCCUCCUCCCGCUCCUAUCUGCGGGUGCCACCGCCUGCGUCAGGGACCCCUGGCCCGAUCUUUCUGCCCCCGAUAACAGAAAAUCUCUUUUUCGUCUUAAAAAAAAAAAAAAAAAAAAAAAAAGCCUGUGGAAGACUCAGCAGAACCCAGGAAGCGCAGAAUUGGGAGAAAAGUCUUUGGCUGGGGCUGUUUCAAGUCUCUGGUUCAAUGGGCUGCUCGAAGCCAGGACUGGGUAAUUCUUUCCAGACGUCUUGACUUCUCCUUCCCCGCCGUUGUUGCCCUUCUGCCUCCUCCAACUUAAGGGGGUCUUAACAAGAUCUUCUGAGGGGUGGACUUCUUUGGAACUCGACAGGACCUUGAAGACUGGGUUCUUAGUCCUUAUCACAUAUAUGGGCUAUAAUGAAUAAGUCUAAACAGAAAAGUCGAAUAAACUGGAAAUGAUGCUUUCAUCACGUCGCACAAGGAGCUGUUUGGAUCAGAAGAUGACAUCCUUUCACCCAUCCCUUUCAGGUUUUGACAUCCUAAAAUGUACCUUAUGGAACCCAUACCUGUUAUGUUUUCACCUGUACAAGGCAACAGAGAAAACAUGGUAGUUUUUACUUGAGUAGAUGUGACUUAGCAAUAUGUUGUUGCUGACCUCCAUCCCACAGCACAAAACAUAUGUUUAUAUGUCUGACAGACAAAGUAUCCAGAACAAGGAUUUAGUACCUUCAUAAUCCUCUGUAUAUGUGGUUCUAGAACUUUUGGUAAAGAAACUCUUUAUACUCUUAUUAAUUAUUGAGAACCUCAAAAAAAGUUUAUAUGUUAUAUGUAUCAAUAUUUACCACAUUAGACAUUAAAGCUGACUUAAAAAGUUAAAAUACUUAAGUCAUUUGAAGUAAUAAUAAAUGC